UACGUAGGGGGCAAGCGUUAUCCGGAAUCACUGGGCGUAAAGCGUGCGUAGGUGGCGUGUUAAGUGCAAUGCGAAAUCCUGUGGCUCAACCAUAUGGACUGUAUUGCAUACUGGCAUGCUAGAGGACGGCAGAGGCAAGUGGAAUUACCGGUGUAGCAGUGAAAUGCGUAGAGAUCGGUAGGAACACCAAUGGCGAAGGCAGCUUGCUGGGCCGACCCUGACGCUAAGGCACGAAAGCGUGGGGAGCGAACAGG
rnacentral:rRNA from 1 species